CAACCCCAUUCACACAAACUGCCUCUUGGAAAUAGCCCAGGAGCCCCUUGGAUCAAGGUACAGAUUUUCAGCCACACUCCGAGUUAAGCAGCUUGCUGGCUGUUCCUGGAAGCCUGGCAUCAUUUGUGAUAUGGUUUCUGAGUGGAAAGACUUUCUCUGGAAGACAGCUCAUUUGGAAGUAAAGAGACUUCCUGCGUUCCCUGGAGUGAAAAUCCCGUUCUGUACAAAAUGCCUGCCACACUGUGGCUUUUAGGACCAGAAAUCUGCAGGCGGUGUGCUGAUUGACAAGAACCACAGCCUGCCCUGAGUCCAGAUAGGAGAAGGAAGGGAGAAAGUCAGCUGAGUCUAGACCUUCAGAUGCUGUGAUCUAUCAGGUCCC
rnacentral:lncRNA from 1 species